CCUACGGGUGGCUGCAGUGGGGAAUAUUGGACAAUGGGGGGAACCCUGAUCCAGCCAUGCCGCGUGUGUGAAGAAGGCCCUCGGGUUGUAAAGCACUUUCAGUGAGGAAGAACGCCUGGUGGUUAAUACCCAUCAGGAAAGACAUCACUCACAGAAGAAGCACCGGCUAACUCCGUGCCAGCAGCCGCGGUAAUACGGAGGGUGCGAGCGUUAAUCGGAAUUACUGGGCGUAAAGCGCGCGUAGGUGGCUUGAUAAGCCGGUUGUGAAAGCCCCGGGCUCAACCUGGGAACGGCAGCCGGAACUGUCAAGCUAGAGUGCAGGAGAGGAAGGUAGAAUUCCCGGUGUAGCGGUGAAAUGCGUAGAGAUCGGGAGGAAUACCAGUGGCGAAGGCGGACUUCUGGACUGACACUGACACUGAGGUGCGAAAGCGUGGGUAGCAAACAGGAUUAGAUACCCUUGUAGUC
rnacentral:rRNA from 1 species